GACGUAGGGUGCGAGCGUUGUCCGGAUUUAUUGGGCGUAAAGAGCUCGUAGGCGGCUCGUCGCGUCGACCGUGAAAACCCACAGCUUAACUGUGGGCUUGCGGUUGAUACGGGCGGGCUAGAGUUCGGUAGGGGAGACUGGAAUUCCUGGUGUAGCGGUGAAAUGCGCAGAUAUCAGGAAGAACACCUAUGGCGAAGGCAGCUCUCUGGGACGGUACUGACGCUGAGACGCGAAAGCGUGGGGAGCGAACAGG
rnacentral:rRNA from 1 species